CCUACGGGAGGCAGCAGUAAGGAAUAUUGCGCAAUGGGGGCAACCCUGACGCAGCAACGCCGCGUGGGCGACGAAGGCCUUCGGGUUGUAAAGCCCUUUUCGGAGGGACGAGUAAGGACGGUACCUCCGGAACAAGUCUCGGCUAACUACGUGCCAGCAGCCGCGGUAAAACGUAGGAGGCAAGCGUUAUCCGGAUUCACUGGGCGUAAAGCGCGCGCAGGUGGCCUGUCAAGUCGGACGUGAAAUCUCCCGGCUCAACUGGGAGGGGCCGUUCGAUACUGGCGGGCUUGAGGGCAGAAGGGGAAGGCGGAAUUCCCGGUGUAGUGGUGAAAUGCGUAGAGAUCGGGAGGAACACCCGUGGCGUAGGCGGCGUCCGGGCCGACACCUGACGCUGAAGCGCGAAAGCGGGGGGAGCGAACGGGAUUAGAUACCCCGGUAGU
rnacentral:rRNA from 1 species